CAGCUGUGCCUGCUGAUACAGGGAGUUGUGUGUUACUGAGAGUACGCACAGAAGCUUUCCCUGCUGAUGCCUGCUCAAAUUAUGGGUCCAUCCAAUUGUGUGUUCACAGCUUUAGGAAAAGAAGGAGCUGCUUCCUGUCCUUUACAUCCAACAGCGUGGGAGACGUUCUCAUUUCAGCCUUUUGAGGCACGGAGGACCCAAACAACCCAUAUUACUUUGAUUUGAUGACGACUGGACUUCAACUUUUAAAAGCAACAAGGUUCACUACGCUAUCACGGCUGGCCUGAGAUUGACUUAGUAGACAAGACUGGCCGUGAAGUCACAGAUUUGUUUGCCUCUGUUUUACAGGUCUUUGGAACAAAGGGCUGGGGAUGAACCCAGGGCCUCUCAGAUGCUAGACAUGUGCUCCACUCCUGAGAUGCACUCCCUACCCCCUCAAUGGAGCAUCAGAGGUAGUGCUCCAUAUCUGUGGUUGUGGCUGGCUGUGGCUCAGUGUUGGAAGCAGUCUGCAGAAGAGUUGCUGAAGACCACCACACAGAGCAAGGCCAUGGAGUGCUACAUCCCCACACAUAGUGCUUAGGCCCUGCUGUCUCCACCACACACCAAGAAAAGCUGCUGCGGGGAGCCAAAAGGACAUAGAGCUAGGAUACAGGAUGAGCCACAGAGAUAAUCCACAGGAAUGUUAGUUCAGCCUCGGGGUCCAAAGGCAAAGCUGAACCCUGAAAAGGCCUCUUCAAAGCAGAGAGAAGGUGACCAAAGUCUGAUGAAAAAUGCUAUUGGUGUCAAAGAUGAGAGAAGACGGAGCUGCCAUGGCUUGGCCACGCACCUAAGCUGCAAGAGAAGCCCUGGCUGUGAUCCUUAGCUUGAACUCAAUAUCAGGUGGUGCUAGACUUGAAUUUGUGAUCCUCCUUUUCCAGAGUGCCAAGAAAGCAGACUCUUUGUAGGACCCCAACUGCCUCACUGGAGUGGAUCAGUCGCACUUGCACCUGGGCCCAUCCAGCCCAGAGCAGGGGGAAGGACAAGAGGAAUCCAGGAGAGAACAUUGAAUCCUGUGAAACUCAAAACUCAAGAUACAAAUGGUUGUGGCCUGCCAUAUGGUUGCUAGGAACUGAA
rnacentral:sRNA from 1 species